GUGCAGCAGGCGAGAAAACUUUACAAUGUGCGAAAGCACGAUAAGGGAACUCUGAGUGCCUCCUAAGGAGGCUGUUCAGGUGUCUAAAAAGCACCUGGAGUAAGGGCUGGGUAAGACCGGUGCCAGCCGCCGCGGUAACACCGGCAGCCCAGGUGGUAGCCACUUUUAUUGGGUCUAAAGCGUCCGUAGCUGGUUGAGUAAGUUCCUUGGGAAAUUUGGCUGCUCAACAGUCAAGCUUCCAGGGAAUACUGCUCGACUUGGGACUGGGAGAGGUCAGAGGUACUCCAGGGGUAGGGGUGAAAAUCCAUUAAUCCCUGGGGGACCACCGGUAGCGAAGGCGUCUGACCAGACCAGGUCCGACGGUGAGGGGACGAAGGCUAGGGUCGCGAACCGGAUUAGAUA
rnacentral:rRNA from 1 species